AUGGCUAUAUCACGUUGAAACACCGGUUUUUGUACGAUCACCAAAGUUAAGCAACGUCGAGCGUGGUCAGUACCUAGAUAGGUGACCGUUUGGGGAUACCAGGUGCUGUAAG